UUCCCUCGUAGCUCGACGCGCCAAACUCCAGAGUCUCUGGAAUCUUGCCUUCCAAGUCAUUAAACACGACCCUCAGAUCCUUGAGCAAGGGAAGCCUCGCCAGUCCCCCUGGUAUCGUCCCGUUGAUCCGGUUGAAAGAGAGAUCCAGCACUGUCAUGGACGUCAUUUCUCCCAGAGUCCAUGGAAUGCCUCCAGACAGUCGGUUGUGUGACAAGUUGAGCUCCCGGACUCCAGCCAGCUUUCCCAAGCUUGCGGGAAUCUCACCAGUGAGCUGGUUCGCCGACAAGUCGAGCACUCCUGGCACCUCCAACUCCCUUGCGUAUUGCUGGUACGUGUGUCCAUCCAAGGCGGCAGCCAUAUCCUCGGACACAGUUCUUCGGUAUGCAUCGGUGGAGUUCUCUGGAAACACUCCCGCCGGUGUCAUGGACGAUAUGUUGAGAGCCUGGCUCUUGUCCGCGGUCUGGAAGCCGGUCCAUUCACCGAUGGACGCCGGAAUCUCUCCACUCAGGAGGUUGGAGGAUAGAUCCAGUAGCUGCAAGGAGUCACACUUUGCGAGGCUGCCAGGAAUACCACCCGUGAGCUGGUUCUCAGAGAAAUCCACCUGUGUCAAUCGUCGAAGCUGUCCGAGAGUGGCCGGGAUGGAGCCGUCCAGCUUGUUGUUGGAGAGAUAGAGUAUGGAAAGUUUGGAAAGGUUGCCAACGGAGGGAGGGAUGGAGCCUGAAAAACUGUUGCCGUGCAGCCUCAUGUCGAUUAUCUCUGGCGAAGCUGGAGCUGGAAUCACUCCGGAGAGCUGGUUUCCGUAGAGGAGCAAACUCCGAAGCUUUGCCAUCCAGGCGAUGGACUCUGGUAUUGCUCCACGGAAGAAGUUCCUCUCGAGGACCAGCUCUUCCAGGUUGGUGCAGUUCCCGAGCUCCUCUGGUAUUGCUCCGGAGAGCUGGUUUCCAUCGAGCAUUAAAAGUCUGAGACGCUCAAGCGUGCCAAGCGAUCGAGGAACGCCUCCCAGGAGUCUGUUGUUGGAGAGGAUCAGCGUCUCCAUCCUGGGACACUUGGAGAGCUCGUCUGGAACGCUUCCUUCAAAGCGGUUCCCGUUGAGUUCCAGCGACCGAAGCCUUGUCAAGUUUCCGACGAUCGGUGACAGGAUCCCUUGGCUGUUUGUCCUCCCGAUUCCCAGAAACUCGAGCUGAGUCAUGUUCCAGAGCUGUUCCGGGACCGGACGGUCUGAGGUGUUGUUGAAACGAAAGAGUUGCAAGGUGGCCAAGCGCGGGAGCUGAAGCAGCGACACUGGAAUCGAGCCAUGCAUGAGCGAGUUUCCGUUGAUAUCAAACCACUCGAGCUUGCUGUUGUUGCCGAUCUCAGGAGGAAUUGGCCCCUCCAGCCACUGCAAGCUAUACAGUGAGAGCGCCACCAAGUUUUCGAGCCGUCCAAGCUCAUCUGGUAUCCUCCCGCCCAGAGAAUUCUCCCCGAGCGCCAAGAGCUCGAGAGACGAGCAGUUUGCAAAAACUGGUGGAAUGAGCCCUUCCAGCCGGUUUCUCUCCACGAAGAAUACUCGCAGCUCCUGCAUAGCCCCGACUUCCUGCGGAAUCCCACCUUCAACAUCAUUGCUCGUCAGCCAAAUCUCCUGGAGCUUCGAGCAGUUCGCAAGGGACGGAGGAAGAGAACCUGACAAGCGGUUGUUGUCCAGGACGAGUAUCUCCAACCUCUGGAGCGCUCCCAGCUGGGGCGGUAUCGGACCUUGAAGCUGGUUUUGCUGGGCGUUGAGAAAACGAAGAGCGCUGCAGUUGCCGAGAUCCCGAGGCAAGCUCCCAGUCAGUCUGUUACCCGAGACGUCCAAAGCUUGCAAGCUUUGCAGCAGCCCGAGCUCCGCAGGAAGAGAUCCGACCAGCCGGUUUUUGCUCACGUCCAAGACUCGCAAACUCGUCAGCUGCCCGAGUGCUGGCGACGAGAUCUCACCUGUGAAUCCAUUUCCUGCCAGAUGAAGCUCCACCACCUCUGAAUCGUCACUGUUGCAAAUCACUCCCUUCCAGUCGGUGCAUGCUCGAUCGGAGUAUUCCACAGUCCAGUCUGAGGUGUUUCCCAGUCCUAGGAGGCUCCUUUUCAAUGCAACCAAGACCCCAGCUUUGUGUGCGUUGAGUGACGCUGUAGAGGAUCCAAGCGUGCUCAACAGGAUCAGCCAUAUCAUGAGUUCCAUCAUCUGCAACUUGUUACUACUUCACUCCUCUUCCGGAUUUUGAUGGAGAGCCCU
rnacentral:lncRNA from 1 species